UACGUAGGGUGCGAGCGUUGUCCGGAAUUAUUGGGCGUAAAGGGCUCGUAGGCGGUUUGUCGCGUCGGGAGUGAAAAUCCAGGGCUUAACUCUGGACUGGCUUCCGAUACGGGCAGACUAGAGGUAUGCAGGGGAGAACGGAAUUCCUGGUGUAGCGGUGAAAUGCGCAGAUAUCAGGAGGAACACCGAUGGCGAAGGCAGGUCUCUGGGCCACUACUGACGCUGAGAAGCGAAAGCAUGGGGAGCGAACAGG
rnacentral:rRNA from 1 species